UAGUGUCCCCAUGUCUCUCAGUGUCCCCAUGUCACUAGGACACACAGAGACAUUGGGACACUGUGAGAUAUGGGGACACUGAGAGACCUGGGGACACA
rnacentral:miRNA from 1 species